rnacentral:rRNA from 1 species
UCCAGAGGUCUCGAGCGUUGUUCGGAUUCAUUGGGCGUAAAGGGCGCGUAGGCGGCGGGGUAAGUCUGGUGUGAAAUCUCGGAGCUCAACUUCGAAAUUGCACUGGAUACUGCUCUGCUAGAGGGCUGGAGAGGAGAUCGGAAUUCACGGUGUAGCAGUGAAAUGCGUAGAUAUCGUGAGGAAGACCAGUGGCGAAGGCGGAUCUCUGGACAGCCCCUGACGCUGAGGAGCGAAAGCCAGGGGAGCAAACGGG